AUGAUUAGGAGGAAGAUCAAUUUUAUGUGCCUACAAGAAACUAAGUGGACAGGUGAAAAAGCGAAAGAAUUAAACAACUCGGGAUUAAAGCUUUGGUAUACUGGAAAAAUUAGAUCAAGAAACGGGGUGGAGAUUAUUGUGGAUAAGGAGUGGAAGAAGGAUGUUGUGGAUGUAAGAAGAGUAGGAGAUCAAAUCAUAGUCUUGAAAUUUAUAGUGGGACAAAACACCUUUAAUGUUAUUAGUGGGUACGCACCUCAGGUUGGGUUAGCAGAACACCUUAAGGUAAAAUUUUGA
rnacentral:lncRNA from 1 species